rnacentral:lncRNA from 1 species
GGGCUGCAAGCAGUAGGGGGCGAGCCUUCGCCCGGCUGAGGGGCCGGGUACUGCGUGCCCGGAAAGGUGGUCCGGGCCUCGAAGAGAGCUUUCGGAGGGAGGGCCGUCGGGCCAGCCGCUGUGUUCGGCUUCUUACUCAAUAAUAAUAAUUAACAAGUCUACACUUCCACGUUCUCUUGCUCGUGUAGUGCCAGGCACUGUUAGAGACUUUGAAUAAUAAUGCAAGUACUUAUUGUAAACAUGAUGUUUAUGGUGACUGAUACGUGCUAGGCACUAUGACAGAUCGUAAAUGAUAAUUAUAAAUAUAAUAAACUACCAAAUUAUUAUUUACUUAUUUUUUUGCCACUCUGGUGAUGCUUUCAAUAACAACAAACAACUGUCAUAAAUAAAAGCUGCUCCACAUUAAAUCUUUGCCAUGCAACCAGCACCGUCCUGGAUCCUUCGCUAAUAGACACCAUUUAUUCAUGCAACAAAGGCUACAGAAUACAAUGAUGAGAAAAAUUUACCUUAUUCCACCUUCCUGCUAGAAUCGAGUGAAGAGACAUCCUUUGAAUACUGAGGCUGGCUUGCUAGAGCAGCAAUUCAUUCCCUCACCACAGUGAGGACGGCACUGUGCAGUCUCCUCCCGUUGUUUACUUUUCAAGAGUCAGACAGCAAUCUCAUCAUCAUUCCUUCAGGCCCUCUGCCAUGCUGCCCUGCUUUGGAGCUAGCUGACAAUGGACUGAAAUCUCUACAAACUCACGUAGCAAGGGCUUACGGCACAGCAGGGACUCAACAGAUGUAAGAGCGAGUGAAGAAAUGAAGGAACGAAUGCAUGAAUAAAGAUCCAGGAUCACCAGUGGUGGAAGUUUCAGGACAAACUUGUGCAUAGGAUUUGUAAAAACCCUUGGAAGACCCAGCAGCUCAAACCCACCCUGGAUGGCGGAUGGGGCAGUCAAAGUCAGAAGUUCCUGACCAUUUUCCAAAAAGGGUUUGGAGGCCCCUCCAGAAUUAGGCAGAAGGACAUGGGAAGGGCUUUCUCCUCUGCUGAGGGUCUCAGGAACCUAGGUGUCUGUUGCAAGUUUGCACAGCAGGGGGAAAAGAUGAAGAGUUUGCCCCUCCUUGCCCAGGAGAAAGAUCUUCCUAUCGCGCCGAAUUCCCUCAGUUCUUUAUUCCUGUGAGCAACCAGGGGAUGGAUUCCUGGUCCCCAUCUCUGUGCCUGGUGCAUAAAAAGUGCUCAAUAAAUGUUUGAUGAAUGAAUGAAAUAAUGUAAUUAAGAAUUGAAGAGGGUGGGGUAGAGGGAGAGAGUCUUUUCAAUCCUUAGGAGUUGUCCUCAAGCACCAAGAAGGCCAUAUUUGCAUACAAAUAAUUGAUAUUCUAAUUACAAAUCAUUCGUAUUGCUUUAUUAAGCAGAUCCCCAAAGGAUCUGUAGAAGAUAGAUUCCAUGCUCCUUAGGGGUAAGGACAGCAUAUUUACCUCCUUGUUCCCCGACGGCAAUGG